rnacentral:rRNA from 1 species
UUCCGGUUGAUCCUGCCGGAGGCCAUUGCUAUUGGAGUCCGAUUUAGCCAUGCUAGUCGCACGGGUUCAGACCCGUGGCGAAUAGCUCCGUAACACGUGGCCAAACUACCCUAUGGAUCGGAAUAACCUCGGGAAACUGAGGCUAAUACCGAAUACCGCUCUCAUCCUGGAACUGGAGAGAGCACCAAACGCUCCGGCGCCAUAGGAUGUGGCUGCGGCCGAUUAGGUAGACGGUGGGGUAACGGCCCACCGUGCCGAUAAUCGGUACGGGUUGUGAGAGCAAGAGCCCGGAGACGGUAUCUGAGACAAGAUACCGGGCCCUACGGGGCGCAGCAGGCGCGAAACCUUUACACUGCACGAACGUGCGAUAAGGGGACUCCAAGUGCGAGGGCAUACAGUCCUCGCUUUUCUGUACCGUAAGGUGGUACAGGAAUAAGAGCUGGGCAAGACCGGUGCCAGCCGCCGCGGUAAUACCGGCAGCUCGAGUGAUGGCCAAUAUUAUUGGGCCUAAAGCGUCCGUAGCUGGCCGAACAGGUCCGUCGGGAAAUCCGCUCGCUCAACGAGCGGACGUCCGGCGGAAACCAGUCGGCUUGGGACCGGAAGACCCGAGGGGUACGGCCGGGGUAGGAGUGAAAUCCUGUAAUCCUGGCCGGACCACCGGUGGCGAAAGCGCCUCGGGAAGACGGAUCCGACAGUGAGGGACGAAAGCUAGGGUCACGAACCGGAUUAGAUACCCGGGUAGUCCUAGCUGUAAACGAUGCUCGCUAGGUGUGGCACUGGCUACGAGCCAGUGCUGUGCCGUAGGGAAGCCGAGAAGCGAGCCGCCUGGGAAGUACGUCCGCAAGGAUGAAACUUAAAGGAAUUGGCGGGGGAGCACUACAACCGGAGGAGCCUGCGGUUUAAUUGGAGUCAACGCCGGG